rnacentral:rRNA from 1 species
AGGGAAUCUUCGGCAAUGGGGGCAACCCUGACCGAGCAACGCCGCGUGAGUGAAGAAGGUUUUCGGAUCGUAAAGCUCUGUUGUAAGUCAAGAACGGGUGUGAGAGUGGAAAGUUCACACUGUGACGGUAGCUUACCAGAAAGGGACGGCCAACUACGUGCCAGCAGCCGCGGUAAUACGUAGGUCCCGAGCGUUGUCCGGA